ensembl:lncRNA
GAAUCAAAAAAGGUCUGGCUGGCAUUACUGUUACAUAACAUUGUCUUGAGAAAGCUGGCCAAUAUAAUUAGACCAAAAACAAAAUAAGAGGUGUAAUUAUUGAAAGGGAAGAGGCACAUUUAUUUGUAAAUGACAGUUUAUAUCUGGAAAAUCCAAAAGAAUCAACUGAAACAUUAUGUGAGUAAUGAGAUUUCAAUGUGAUAAUCUGGUUAUAAAAUAAAAACACCCAAAAAUUAAUGGUUUAUCUAGAAAAUUGUUUCUUUCCAUGGUCUGUAAACUGAAAGCCUAUCCAUAUGGAUUAAUGAAUGGGAAUCCUCAUUCUUAAAUACUCUUUAUUAUGCCUGCUGGCAAAACUUACUUAUCUUAUCAUCUCUAAGUAAAUUCAUCUCUAAGUCUAUUUUGAGUAAGAUUCUUUCCAUGUUAACUUUUAAAACCUCUGAAAUAAAGUUGUAGUAGUGAACACAUUUCAAGUAAACUUUAAGAAAAGAAGUUUUUUUUUUCUUUUUUCUUUUUAGAAUUCCUUGUGGCUUGUGAUACUUGCUCUAUUACUUGGUAAUGCCAGGGAAGGUGUAAUCUGAGCUCUGAACCAUAUUUGGUAAAUAAUAAUUUUAUGUGGAACCCACUGUUCUAUCAGUAAGAGGAAAAUUAUUGCUCAAAUGUAAGGCUCUUCUACGCCCUUAAAGCAUUUCCUGUCUUAAAGACCAAGUUAGAUCAUAUAUUGAUUCCUUUUGUUUUUUAAAAGACACUGUAUCCCGGUUCUAUACUAUUUUGACUAGAGGUGUGUUGACAAAAGUAUUUUCUGCUUUACUUGAAAGAGGAAGAAUUACAUGUCUAUUUACUUGUUUACCAUUAAUUCUCUUUAUCCUAAGUGUAAAUUGUUAUGUUUUUAUUUAUCAUCAGUUCUCAAAAUUGAGCUCUCUCACAUUUGCCUUGUUCUGGGAUCAGUGUUGAUAAAUCAGGUUAUCUCUCUUAUGAUGUGAUGCAGUUGAGUUAUUUAAAGCUAAAGCUUGCCACACAGCUGUUGUUUCAGCAUUUUAUGACAAUGAAAGCUUAAGUAUACUCAGAUGUUUAUAGCAAAGCUUCCCAGGUGGCACAGUGGUAAAGAACCCACCUGCCAUUGCAGGAGAUGAUAGAGUGUGGGUUCGAUCCCUGGGUCAGGGCAAUCCCCUGGAGUAGGAAAUGACAACUCACUCCAGUAUUCUUGCCUGGAGAAUCCCAUGGACCAAGGACCCUAGCAGGCCCUAGCCCGUGGGGUCACAAAGAGUUGGACACAACUGAGCGUAUAGAAAACUGAAUUGAAUACCUACUGUCUGCCAGGUUGUUAGCUGCUAAUUCUCAUGACAAUCCAGUGAGGUAGGGGAUGCUAUCCCAUUUAAUAGAACAGAAACUUCUGCAGAGUUUUAGUUUGUAUAGGAACCAGAUUUGGAACCUAGAUCUUUCUCUACCAGAAUAUUUUCAUCUACAGCAUGCCAUUACAAAAGGUGGAAAAUUGACGUUGUCCUUAAAAACUACUUUCAUUCUCUUUUGCUUUGUUGUGUCCUGGUUACUAGAAAUGCAGGGAGUUAAGUUCUUUACAUCCUUGUUUUAGCACUACUCUUUUGUCCUGUUACAAUCCUCACCAUCUGCCAUCAUUGGACAGCAGCAGCAGAUUCAGUUUAUUUUGACUACUGUGGGAUUGAGUCUCUUCUUUCGUAGACACUCCUAAAAUUAUCAGCUUGCCAAGCAUACGAACAUCAUUUCUAGGCCCUAGUAAUCUAAUUAGUACAACAUUCUAACAUUUUUAAUAGCCUACCAUUUCUGUAACCUUUGUACUUGCAAGUUUUCUUGUGUGUGUUUUAAUAAUGUGGACCUAACCAAAAAAAAAAAAUCAUUGACUCUGUUUUGGUAAUGGAAAAAAGAAUUUCUAGUGUGGUUAAGAACCACAUUUAUGAGCUGUUCUUUGCAUCCUUCUUUAAGAAUUACCAAGUGUUUUUAAAAAUUGGAACUUUAUUUCACUGCUUAGAUGUAUCUAAAGCAUUUCUUAAGAAAAGUCUGAGAACUGAUUGUAGAAAUUUAGGGAAACAGAAGGUAAUUGGAAAUAAGAUAGCAAAAGAGAUGAGUAAAGUGGCUUAAAAAUGAGAGCUUUACAAUUCCAGUCUUACUAAUGAAAAUGAACUUACUGUUGGUUUUCUCAUUCUAUAUACUCUGGUUCUAUAUUGGACAGUCUGUUGCUGAAAGCCAGUAGAGAUUUCAUAAAGGCUACUGGUUUAGUUUCUAGAAUUAGAAGUUUAGAGUGGAGUCGGGUAGAUUAAGACAAUGAAUUAAGUAAUGCAAAUAGCAUCUUUUGGUAACUUGUAUUUAAGAGAGUCUUCCAUUUAAGAAUAUUUCCUAUGCGAGACACUGGGGACUACCUCACUGCUAUUAGCUCACAAUGUUAUCUGGUCACGUUUCUUGUUCUGCCUACCUCUAGUUUACUCUAGUUUCUCUUCUGCUUUCAAGGCUCCAGACCCAGUUCCUGGACCUGCCCUGGAAAAGAAGUAUCCAGUAGAGAUGAGCUCACUGCAGUUACUUAAUUAAAAAUUUGUAAGCUGCAAAAAUGGCAAUGGGCCAAUCAAGAACAGCUACCAUUUGAAUUUUUCUAUUUCCAGGAAUGUUGUAAGAACUGAAAUAAUACAGGUUAACAUUGUUCAGCACAGAACCUGAUCCAUGGUGAGUCAGUGAUCACGCUGUAAGCUCAGAGGAAAGUGCCCUUGUCCGCCUUUAUGUGUGAACAUUUAAAUCCCAUCUGUCAAGACUCCUGAUGGUUGACCAUUGUUGCAGUUAUUAAGUAUAUCAGUAACAAUUUCAGCAUUGAUAGCAUAGGCAUAGGGUUAUUUGAAAGUACAUUGAAUUGGCUCAGUUCUGGUACUUUCAAAUAAUUCUUUUUAUGCUGCUCCUACUCUCUGACCCCCCAUAUCAAAAUACAAGUAGUGUUAUGGGGAAAUACAUAGGAAAUAUAUAGGAAAUACUUUUAUAGGGAAAAUAUUCUGCUCUAGUCUCCAUUGUUUAUGCUUACUUAUACAAGAAUACAUGAAUAUAUAUUCUUAUAAAAAAUUGGAACAUAACAGAGAUGACUGUAUCUCCUUGGACCACCUUCUCCCUGUGUGUUCCUUUACCCAGCCAGGUCUCCAAAAUAAUUAGUGUGUAUCCUUUCAGAGCAUUACCUGUGCAUUCCUAUAAAAAUAUCUGUUUCAAACUUUUUUUGGUGUCUUUUUUUUUUUUUAACACAAAGGGCAUCAUUAUACAUGAGUUUUGCAUCUUUUUUCAUCCAGUAAUGUCUUAAUAGGCCUUUGCAUAUAAUUAUUUGGCUCUCUUACUUGACUUAAAGAAAGAAAUUGCUGUACCUUGAUUUACUCAUUCAUUCCUAAACGGUUAUUCAGAUUGUUCUUUUAGUGAUAUACACUGAAGUGACAUUCUUACAUCCAUGGAGUCGCAAAGGUCGGACACGAUGGAGUGACCGAACUAAACUGACAUUCUUAUAUGCUUCUCUUUAAAUACAUAUGCUUGCCUGUAGGUUGGACACUUUAUAUUGUUAUAGAUGGAGCUCUGGUACUUCAUGAUCAGCAACAAAUUUUCAUUCCCAGCUGAUGGUGCUAGCACUGGAUAGUGACACCACAGUUGGGAACUGGUCUAGAAAGCAGUGCUGCUACUGAUUUAGCUGGAAGUGUAAAUACACUUCUUAAUACAUCUUUCCAUUUUUCUCUUCAGUUAAAAAGAAAAAAAAAACUGGAGUAACAUUUCUCUUCUCUGCUUCACGUGUGGGGAUGAUAAAGUGAGAUAAAUGCUGUAAGAAGUCUCAUAUAAAUCUGAAUUCUACUAGUUUAUGAUUUUUCUCAAAAGCAGGAACUAUAUUUUGUUCAUCUUUGCAUAUUUAGAGCACAUUACCUGGCUUACAAUGGGCAGUGUUUGUGGAAUGAUUCACAGACAUUAAGGUGAGCCAAAAAGCAGAUUGUAUUUAUGAAAAUUCCAGGCCAGUAGAAUUUUCUUAGAUCUUAUACAUGAUCUGGAAUCUGUGCAUUUUUUCAUUGAAAACUUUCUACCUUUUUAGCCUUAUCUCACGUCCCUUCUGUAGUACAGCUAUAAUUCUUCAAAUUUAUCCUAUUCUUUCAUGGUCUUUUCCCUAACACAAACAGUUGUCAGUGAUAUCCUGCAAGACUCUAUGAUUUAUCUGUAAUGGCCAAGUCCAAAUACUGCAUUCUUUGUGAAAUUUCUCCUGCCUCUCUUCAGUUCCUGCAUUUUAGGCACUACUGCCUCCUGAUCUCCACUGCUACUUAUACACCUCUCAGUGCUGCACAGUGAAUGUUACUGAACAACUGCAUGCCUGCCUCUGGGACUGUGUGGAAUGUCACAGAACCAGGCAGGGCUUGGAACUUCAGAGAUAAAUUAGGUGGAUCUGGAAAGUGAGAGGCGUGUUGUUCUUGCUGACUUUUGGGAUUCAGCACAUACGGGACAGGGGAAAGCAAUUAAGAUCAUCUAUGAUUGCCCGUGCCUACCCUACUUCUCCAGCUUCAUCCUGCAUCACACUUUCUCCCUGUUCCUCUCACUCCCUGCCCUUCAACGUGAGCCAGCUACUGGUGGUUACCCAAACUUGCCAUGCUGUCUGAUUCAAGUCUUUUCCUGGGCAGCUACUUAUGUUUGAAAUUUUCUUCCCCUCUUGCCUAUCCACCUGGUAAACGUAUUUUUGUCUUCCAAGACCCAGCUUAGGUGUUGCCGUCUUUAAUUAAUCCUACCCUAAACUCUCCGCUUCCCUCAGAAUUGAUUGGCCCCCUCUAUGUUUCCGCUGUGCACUGCAACACAGCUCAGUUACAGUUCAGUCAUUAUGUUUACUUGUUGAUGUAUUUGUCUUCCUCUACUAAAAUGUAAAUUUCUUAAGUGUUGAAAAGUGUGCUUUUAUUAAUUUUAAUAUUUUCAGCACCCACUAUAGUAGAGAGUGAAUAGUAGAUACACAAUAAUUGUUUACAUAAGCAAUGUGUAUACUAUAUAUGAAAAUAUAUAACAAUAAUGCAUUAGAAAAUGUGUCAUAAAUCAAAAUGUUGAGUAGAUGAUCACUUUCAUAUUUGUUCAUAGUUUACAUUGUUAUGAAAGUCAUUCUAGAUUUAUGGAUAAGUAUUACGUAAUGAGAUUUCUGGUUCUUUAUUCAAUUAUGUGAUAUUAAAUUAAAUAUUCUCCAAGGGCAUCUAUAAUUGGAGAAUUGUGAAAUAUCUUUAUAUAUAAUAAAUAUGUUGAGAUAGAAGUUUCUGUACAGUUUUGAAAUUAUUCUUGAUCAUCUAAUAUAAAAUCCAUCCCCCAUAACUAUAACAAGAUUAACAACCGACUUUUUAACAGUUCCAUAGUGUUAGAUUUGAAAGACUGGCACAUACUUAACAAGAUUAUGUUAAGUUCAAUGAGAUGGAUUAUUUAAAGAUGGAUUAUCAAAAAAUUAUAUUAAAAGGGGCACACUCAGAAGUAACUUUGUUUCCAUCUUAAAACCCUAAUGUAUUGGAAAAUAAUAAUGAAGUAUGAAUUGGAAAAUAUACACAAGGUAGUUAGUUAUAUAAUAUGUUUUGAUGAAUUAUAACCAUUCUGCCUUAGAUUUAUUGCACUUUUCUUGAUCCUUAGAAAAUGGUAGCACUCACCACAAAACCACAGUACAUAAAUUGCCAAGUGUGGCUGACUUGCACAUUCCUUUUAGAGGAACUUAUAACUGCUAAACCUUUUAACCAUAAGAAAUGGUCAGUAUUCAUGGACUUGAGGCAGUGUAUUAAUGAGUAAAUUGGGAAUUUUUUUUUUAAGAGGAGAUAGAGUGGGCCAUUAUGUUACUUCUUAACCUUUUGACAUGUAUUAAAAUUACACUAUUAAUAUUUAUUGUUUUUCUAUAGAAAAUAAAUUACUAUAGGCUUGUAAAGUUGAGAAAUACAUUUUCUGGUAACAAUCCUUUGUUCCCUUUAAGCUUUUAAGUAACACUAAAUCUGAACAUGAUAAGUAAUUCAAGUAAGUAGCAUUUAGGUGACUUAAUUUGGUGUGUUUCUAUUAUUUUAUUUUUGCAAAUAUCUAUGUAAAGUGAUUCAAGACUACAGCAGUUCUAUGCUAAAGUUUAUGCUAAAGAUGGAUUAUACUUAUUCUCUUUUUUAUCGUAAAUGAUGAUAGUAUUUGAAUUUUAGAUUUUUAAAUGCCAUAGCUAUAAUUCUUACAUUUUAACUCUUAGGAAAAUAAUUUGAUAUUAUAGAUUUGGAGAGCAGCAAGUUUGCUUUGCUUUAAUAAAGAUGUAACAUCAUCUUCCAAGAAAUACAAUUCUAAUAAUUUUCUGUUAAAAGUAAUUUUGAAAUUUUCAUUCAAUUACAUUUGUAGAUUAUUUUAAAAUUAAUCAAAUGUGAAGCAUCAACUAUUAUAUACCUGCUUGACAUUUGAUGAGAUAGUUACGUCAUCAGUAAUGAAAGAGGUACUUAAAAUAGUGUAUAUAAUUAGAAAGAUAAUACUUCUUUUUUUUCAGUUUACUCCUGAAAUCCUUAUUAAGGCCAGAAAGUUUCAAAACUUGCUUUAACUUCAAAAAAAAUUAGCAGCUAACUCACUGCACAGUCAUCAGCCAGUCCACAGAAGAGACACAAGUUAAAAUUAGUAAUAAAAAACAAUUAACAUCAUAUUGACAACCAAGUACAUAAGUUGAAACACUCUCCCUUCCCUUUAGACGGCCUGGGAAAUUUAGUAAUGGUUGUUGAGGUUGCUGCUAAGUUGCUUCAGUUGUGUCCGACUCUGUGUGACCCCAUAGAUGGCAGCCCACCAGGCUCCCCCAUCCCUGGGAUCCUCCAGGCAAGAAUACUGGAAUGGGUUGCCAUUUCCUUCUCCAAUGCAUGAAAGUGAAAAGUGAAAGUGAAGUCGCUCAGUCAUGUCCAACUCCUAGCAACCCCAUGGACUGCAGCCCACCAGGCUCCUCUGACCAUGGGAUUUUCCAGGCAAGGGUACUGGAAUGGGUUGCCAUUGUCUUCUCCAGUUGUUGAGGUUAUGUGUCCCUAAAAAGCACCACUGUAGUCAAAACUAAAAAAUAAAACCCCACGGGACUUAACAAGAAAAAUGGAAUGGAGGUACAACACUCAGAAUGUCAUCAGUGAACAUUUUAAAAAGUAGAAACCUUAAAAGGCAUGAUACUGUAAUUUUACAUAUGUCAAAUGGCUAAGAAAUAUGUGUAAGUACUUAUAUAAUAUUUAUACAAAUAAGUACUGUACUUUGCUUUUAAACAGUCCUAAAGUUUGCCUUAUAGAAAGAACUUUCACAUAGUUGUGGAAGCUUGUUAUUGUGAAGAAUGAUUUUUUGAAAUUGGAAAGAAAGUUGAACACAAGUUGUGGAUGGGUGUGACUGAUUCCUCGAAGCUUCAGUAAGCUGAGGUUGCUGGCAGAUGUUUGAGGUGUGUUCAUAUUUACAUUUUGAGUGUUCAUAGGCAGUUUGUUUCAGCUGAGUGUGGUUUUUUGCAUUCAUCUAGUGUUUCUGACAGAUGAAUUCACAGCAGAAUUCACUUAGUGCUCAAAUUGUUGCCUAAUAUAUCAAUUGCAUUGAUGCAGUUUUAAAACAACUAUUACAGCAGCACUCACAUAUAGCCAAGGGUAAGACAAACACUGUAGUUUGGAGGGAUAGCUACCACUUUUUAUAGUAGUCUUUAAUCUAGAUAUAUUCUGAUCUUUAUUUAGAGAUUUAUUAUGACAGAUACUUACUGAGCAUCCACAAUUUGCCUUCCACUUUCUAAAUAUUUAAGAUACAGCAGUGAACAAGAUAGUCUCUCCACUUUGAAACUAAUAUUACUUGUGUAAAAAUUUCUGUUUGUUAUCACAGGUUGGUUUUAAGAGGUAAAAUUGGAUAGAUAAAUGGACCUCAGGUUUAAAAAAAAGAGUCUGCUGGGCAUCAAGACUUUUCUCUAACUCCCUAAAUUAUAUACGUUUACAAGAUAAUUUUCUAGGGAUCUGUCCAGGUCGAGAUUCCAUUGUUUAUAGAAAAAAAUUAGUAUCUCUGGAGGUCACUAUGGAAAUCAGAGUUAAAUUUUAGGAUAGUAAUACAUGUUAAAAUGGAACAACCUCUUACCUUAUUGUCUGUAAGCUAAAGGAGAGUCCCAUUGCAGUUGAGAAGUGAAUUUUAGUUUUAUAUAUUUUGUCCUGUUCUUCCAUGAUAUUCAACAUAAGCUGUAUUUUUCUUUGUUAUAGUAGUAAAUUUGUUCCGGUAAAACUCAACCAUGUACAAACAGGGCAAAGAUGAAAUACGUGUAUCAAUUUACAUAAUGAUAGGCUAAACCAUUCGUGUAUCUCAAGACCUUCUAUAAUAAAAGCCACUGUACACUUGCAGCCUCCAUCAACCUUUCUCAUCUUCUCUUGUAGAUACUCCCCACCCGAAACUCUUUCUCCUUAAUCCUCUUUCCUCCUAUCCCUCCUGUUUCUAGCCAAACAGGUGACUGACUCAUUGUCUCCAGAACCUGCCUAGUAUUUAUUGGAUUGCCUCACUUCAUACUUCAACCUUGUGAUGAUUCAGGGCCCUUCCACCUCUUCCCUCAGGCCUGAGAGCACUCUGAACACCUAUAGCAUAGUUUAUACCACUUAUCUGGCACUUAUUUUCAACCUAAUAUUUGGUUUUCAGGUAGCUUUGUCUGAGUUAUCCAAUUAAGACAAAUGAUUUGUCCCAUAUACGUGGGAAAGGAAGGCCUCAAAGGCUUUGUUAGCAAAGUAAUGUCUUUGCUUUUUAAUAUGUCAUAUUAAAUAAUUAAUAUGUCAUAAAUUUUCUUCCAAGGAGCAAGCGUCAUUUAAUUUCAUGGCUGCAGUCACUCUCUACAGUUAUUUUGGAGCCAAAAAAAAAGUCUGUCACUGUUUCCAUGUUUCCCCAUAUAUUUGCCAUGAAGUUAUGGAACCAGAGUUUAUACUUAACCAACCAUUUAAUUGUCUCAUCUUACUAAAUGAGACAGCCCCUGCUGAUAUAGAAUUGUGGGUGAAAUAUUUAGCAGUGUUAUUUAUGUUUUUAGCUAUUAACAUGUUCUGUCACCAUAAAAUUUUAGAAACAAAUAGUUAAAACAGAAUGUUGUUUCUUGAAAUUCUACUGCUUAGGAAAGUUUUAAGCUUACCUGAGAGUAACCCUCUUCCAACAACACAAGAGAAGACUCUAUACACGGACAUCACCAGAUGGUUGACACCAAAAUCAGGUUGAUUAUAUUCUUUGCGGCCAAAGAUGGAGAAGCUCUGUACAGUCAGCAAAAACAAGACCGGGAGCUGACUGUGCCUCGGAUUAUGAACUCCUUAUUGCCAAAUACAGACUGAAAUUGAGGAAAGUGGAGAAAACCACUAGACCAUUCAGGUACAACCUAAAUCAAAUCCCUUAAUCCUAUACAGUGGAAGUGAGAAAUAGAUUUAAGGGACUAGAUCUGGUAGAGUGCCUGAUGAACUCCACCUAUAGAUGGAGGUUCGUGACAUUGUAUAGGAGACAGGGAUCAAGACCAUCCCCAAGAAAAAGAAAUGCAAAAAAGCAAAAUGGCUGGCUGGGAAGGGCUUACAAAUAGCUGUGAAAAGAAGGGAAGCGAAAAGCAAAGGAGAAAAGGAAAGAUAUACCCAUUUAAAUGCAGGGUUCCAAAAAAUAGCAAGGAGAGAUAAGAAAGCCUUCCUCAGCGAUCAAUGCAAAGAAAUAGAGGAAAACAAUAGAGUGGGAAAGACUAGAGAUCUCUUCAAGAAAAUUAGAGAUACCAAGGGAACAUUUCAUGCAAAGAUGGGCUCGAUAAAGGACAGAAAUGGUAUGGACCUAACAGAAACAGAAAAUAUUAAGAGGUGGCAAGAAUACACGGAAGAACUAUGCAAAGAAGAUCUUCAUGACCAAGAUAAUCACAAUAGUGUGAUCACUCAUCUAGAGCCAGACAUCCUGGAACGUGAAGUCAAGUGGGCCUUAGAAAGCAUCACUGUGAACAAAGCUAGUGGAGGUGAUGGAAUUCCAGUAGAGCUGUUUCAAAUCCUGAAAGAUGAUGCUGUGAAAGUGCUGCUCUCAAUAUGCCAACAAAUUUGGAAAACUCAGCAGUGGCCACAGGACUGGAAAAGAUCAGUUUUCAUUCCAAUCCCAAAGAAAGGCAAUGCCAAAGAAUGCUCAGACUACCGCACAAUUGCACUCAUCUCACACACUAGUAAAGUAAUGCUUAAAAUUCUCCAAGCCAGGCUGCAGCAGCACGUGAACCAUGAACUUCCAGAUGUUCAAGCUGGUUUUAGAAAAGGCAGAGGAACCAGAGAUCAAAUUGCCAACAUCUGCUGGAUCAUCGAAAAAGCAAGAGAGUUCAGUAAAAACAUCUGUUGACUGCUUUAUUGACUAUAAAGCCUUUGACUGUGUGGACAGUAAACUGUGGAAAAUUCUGAAGGAGAUGAGAAUACCAGACCACCUGACCUGCCUCUUGAGAAACCUAUAUGCAGGUCAGGAAGCAACAGUUAAAACUGGACAUGGAACAACAGACUGGUUCCAAAUAGGAAAAGGAGUAUGUCAGGCUGUAUAUUGUCACCCUGCUUACUUAACUUAUAUGCAGAGUACAUCAUGAGAAACGCUGGGCUGAAGGAAGCACAAGCUGGAAUCAAGAUUGCCAGGAGAAAUAUCAAUAACCUCAGAUAUGCAGAUGACACCAGCCUUAUGGCAGAAACUGAAGAAGAACUAAAGAGCCUCUUGAUGAAAAUGAAAGAGGAGAGUGAAAAAGUUGGCUUAGAGCUCAACAUUCAGAAAACAAAGAUCAUGGCAUCCGGUCCCAUCACUUCAUGGGAAAUAGAUGGGGAAACAGUGGCUGACUUUAUUUUUCUGGGCUCCAAAAUCACUGCAGAUGGUGAUUGCAGCCAUGAAAUUCAAAGACGCUUACUCCUUGGAAGGAAAGUUAUGACCAACUUAGACAGCAUAUUCAAAAGCAGAGACAUUACUUUGCCAACAAAGGUCCAUCUAGUCAAGGCUAUGGUUUUUCCAGUGGUCAUGUAUGGAUGUGAGAGUUGGACUAUAAAGAAAGCUGAGUACCAAAGAAUUGAUGCUUUUGAACUGUG